UACGUAGGGUGCAGGCGUUAAUCGGAAUUACUGGGCGUAAAGCGUGCGCAGGCGGCUCCUUAAGUCAGAUGUGAAAUCCCCGGGCUCAACCUGGGACCUGCAUUUGUGACUGCAUCGCUGGAGUACGGUAGAGGGGGAUGGAAUUCCGCGUGUAGCAGUGAAAUGCGUAGAUAUGCGGAGGAACACCGAUGGCGAAGGCAAUCCCCUGGACCUGUACUGACGCUCAUGCACGAAAGCGUGGGGAGCAAACAGG
rnacentral:rRNA from 1 species